AAGUAAAAAACGAAAGUUAUUGUAUUUGAUUUCGACUCAAAUUUUGGUGUAUUACCUUUACUUA
rnacentral:tRNA from 1 species